rnacentral:lncRNA from 1 species
UCUGAGGUCUGAGGUAUUGAUAGAGUUAUACAUAUUUAGGAUCGCCUUCUUAAUUUUUCUUGUUUUACUAUCAAAAAUGACUUAUAUCCUUCCUAGCUCGUGUUGUUUUUGAAUUUGGGACUGAGGUAUUGAUAGAGUUGCAUUGAUAAUGGAUAGGAUUGUGAAAGUAUGUGUGUGUUUCUUUUUCUUAAUUCAGGAAGGGUUUGUAUUGUUUCAGGAAAGCCUUCCAGAAAAGUUUGAAAAAAAAAAUUUCCCCUUGUUUACGCAGGAUAGAAACAAAUGGAAGAUUCAUUACCUCUCACACUAACUCUGCCUGAGCUCAAGUGCCCUAUUGGUUCAGAUCCAAAGGAAAAAAAGGUGUCAAUAAACCAACA